rnacentral:rRNA from 1 species
CUAACCGCGCGAAGGUAGCAUAAUCACUUGUUCACUAAAUAAGGACUUGUAUCAACGGCAUCACGAGAGCUAUACUGUCUCCUUUAUCUAAUCUGUGAAACUAAUCCCCCCGUGAAUACAACUAUAAGACGAGAAGACCCCAUGGAGCUUUAAACUUAGCCCCACCCCCGCCCCCACACCCACACACCAACGGGACCCUGCGUGCUCAGUUUUAGGUUGGGGUGACCACGGAGUAUAACACAACCUCCACGAUAAAUAAAACUAUUCUCUUAAUCUAAGAGCCACACCUCUAAGAAUUAGAACCCUAAUACUAAUGACCCGAUAAUCGAUCAACGGACCAAGUUACCCUGGGGAUAACAGCGCAAUCUACUUCAAGAGCCCCUAUCGACAAGUGGGUUUACGACCUCGAUGUUGGAUCAGGAUAUCCCAGUGGUGCAGCAGCUACUAAGGGUUCGUUUGUUCAACGAUUAAAAUCCUACGUGAUCU